rnacentral:rRNA from 1 species
ACCCCACUAUUCGCCCUCCAGCUAAAUCCUAAGCACUACGGCUUUAUAGCUAAAACUUAAAUACCAUGGCGGCGUGCCUAAAGUUCAGAGGAACCUACCAGGUAAAUGAUAACCCGCAAGACAUUCUUACUCCAGCUAAAAGUUUAUAUAUCGCCGUCCAGUAACCUCUCUCGGAGGUUAUUAUAAGACAGGCCAUGACAUAGCAUAUGCUGGAGACUUGAGGUGGGUUACAAUAAUAACAUAUUUCCGAACCAGCCCUAAAGAGCUGAGAAAGAUGGAUUUGAAAGUAAUGGUAAAGAUAAAUAUAUAAUGAAUUUUUAUAGGCCCGUGUACACACCG